rnacentral:lncRNA from 1 species
GCCUACUGAGUAAAAUAUCCGACGAAUUUUUUGAAUUGUCACCCUCCAUGUUGAUGAUGUAAAAAUCUGCUGAAAAAAUUAGUUCAGUUACCUUGACUAGGACAUCCUCCAACACCCCUUCCGGAUACACAAUUGGCCUAUCCACUAACUGAAUGAUCACCCCUAUUUCUUUCAAAAGACCCGUUGUUUAGCAAUUUAAAAAUAAAUAAAGGCAUAAAGUUAAUAGAUGCACCUAAAUCACACAUGGCUUUCUUUAUGCCAACAUUACCUAUUUUGCAAGAUAUAGAAAACAUACAUUGUCCUUACACUUGCACCUAAAUCAUACGUUUUCUCUUACAUUUACCCAUUCGCUACCUUAAAGUUUCUUCUUGUCAGUGCAUAAUUCUU